rnacentral:tRNA from 1 species
UUAACUGAAACCAAAGAAGAGGUAUAUCAUUGUUAAUGAUACAAAUGAAUCUAAAUUAUUCCAGUUAAA